GGUGAUUCUCGGGAGACGCACCCUGGAAUCGGGCUUCCUCCUCUCUGAUUUCAGGUGCAUCACUAGAGAACCGCA
rfam:Myotis brandtii contig200995, whole genome shotgun sequence.